rnacentral:rRNA from 1 species
GACGAACGCUGGCGGCGUGCUUAACACAUGCAAGUCGAACGGAAAGGCCCUGCUUUUGUGGGGUGCUCGAGUGGCGAACGGGUGAGUAACACGUGAGUAACCUGCCCUUGACUUUGGGAUAACUUCAGGAAACUGGGGCUAAUACCGGAUAGGAGCUCCUGCUGCAUGUUGUGGGUUGGAAAGUUUCGGCGGUUGGGGAUGGACUCGCGGCUUAUCAGCUUUUUGGUGGGGUAGUGGCUUACCAAGGGUUUGACGGGUAGCCGGCCUGAGAGGGUUACCGGCCACAUUGGGACUGAGAGACGGCCCAGAAUCCUACGGGAGGCGGCAGUGGGGAAUAUUGCACAAUGGGAAGAAGCAUGAUGCAGCAACGCCGCGUGCGGGAUGACGGCCUUCGGGUUGUAAAACGCUUUCGCCUGUGACGAAGCGUGAGUGACGGUAAUGGGUAAAGAAGCACCGGCUAACUACGUG